rnacentral:rRNA from 1 species
UACGUAGGCAGCAAGCGUUGUUCGGAAUUACUGGGCGUAAAGCGUGCGCAGGCGGUUCGCUAAGACAGAUGUGAAAUCCCCGGGCUUAACCUGGGAACUGCAUUUGUGACUGGCGGGCUAGAGUAUGGCAGAGGGGGGGUAGAAUUCCACGUGUAGCAGUGAAAUGCGUAGAUAUGCGGAGGAACACCGAUGGCGAAGGCAAUCCCCUGGGCCUGCACUGACGCUCAUGCACGAAAGCGUGGGGAGCGAACAGG